CGGCCCGGUGGGCGACGGCGCGAAGCGUCCGCGAUAGUUCAUGGAUCGAUGAUGCGUUGUAGGUUCAGGUUCUGUUGAGCCGG
rnacentral:tRNA from 1 species